UCCGCGUUGUAAUCUCGAGACGUGUUUUCCGUGCGGCGCUAUGGACAAGUUCCUUGGAAUAGGACAUCGUAGAGGGUGAAAAUCCCGUACUUGCCAUGGAUGUACCGUGCUUUGUGAUACACGCUCUAAGAGUCGAGUAGUUUGGGAUUGCUGCUCAAAAGGGGUGGUAAACUCCAUCUAAAGCUAAAUAUCGGGGAGAGACCGAUAGCGAACAAGUACCGUGAGGGAAAGAUGAAAAGCACUUUGGAAAGAGAGUUAAAAGUACGUGAAAUUGUCGAAAGGGAAGCACUUGAAGUCAGCCAUGCGGCUCGAGACUCAGCCUGGCUCUGGCCGGGUGUACUUCUCGGGUGGCAAGUCAGCAUUGGUUUGAGUCGUCGGAGAAGAGGUUAGGAAUGUGGCAUCUUCGGGUGUGUUAUAGCCUAGCACUGGAUACGACGACCCAGACCAAGGAACGCAGUG
rnacentral:rRNA from 1 species